rnacentral:rRNA from 1 species
GACGAACGCUGGCGGCGUGCUUAACACAUGCAAGUCGAACGGUGAAGCGCCUUCCUUUUUGGUGGGUGUGGAUGAGUGGCGAACGGGUGAGUAACACGUGAGUAACCUGCCCCCUUCUUCUGGAUAACCGCAUGAAAGUGUGGCUAAUACGGGAUUUUCUGGGUCUGUCGCAUGAUGGGUCUGGGAAAGAUAUUGUUUCGGUGGGGGAUGGGCUCGCGGCCUAUCAGCUUGUUGGUGGGGUGAUGGCCUACCAAGGCGGUGACGGGUAGCCGGCCUGAGAGGGUGGACGGUCACACUGGGACUGAGACACGGCCCAGACUCCUACGGGAGGCAGCAGUGGGGAAUAUUGCACAAUGGGCGCAAGCCUGAUGCAGCGACGCCGCGUGAGGGAUGGAGGCCUUCGGGUUGUGAACCUCUUUCGCCAGUGAAGCAGGCCUGCCUCGUUUGUGGGUGGGUUGACGGUAGCUGGAGAAGAAGCGCCGGCUAACUACGUG